GGGGAAUAUUGCACAAUGGGCGCAAGCCUGAUGCAGCGACGCCGCGUGAGGGAUGACGGCCUUCGGGUUGUAAACCUCUUUCAGCAGGGGAGAAGCGCAAGUGACGGUACCUGCAGAAGAAGCACCGGCUAACUACGUGCCAGCAGCCGCGGUAAUACGUAGGGUGCGAGCGUUGUCCGGAAUUAUUGGGCGUAAAGAGCUCGUAGGCGGCUUGUCGCGUCGGAUGUGAAAGCCCGGGGCUUAACCCCGGGUCUGCAUUCGAUACGGGCAGGCUAGAGUUCGGUAGGGGAGAUCGGAAUUCCUGGUGUAGCGGUGAAAUGCGCAGAUAUCAGGAGGAACACCGGUGGCGAAGGCGGAUCUCUGGGCCGAGACUGACGCUGAGGAGCGAAAGCGUGGGGAGCGAAC
rnacentral:rRNA from 1 species